rnacentral:rRNA from 1 species
UAGAGUUUGAUCCUGGCUCAGGACGAACGCUGGCGGCGUGCUUAACACAUGCAAGUCGAACGGUGAAGGGACCAGCCUGCUGGUUCUGGAUGAGUGGCGAACGGGUGAGUAACACGUGAGUAACCUGCCCCCUUCUUCUGGAUAACCGCAUGAAAGUGUGGCUAAUACGGGAUAUUCUGGGUCUGUCGCAUGACGGGCCCGGGAAAGAUAUUGCUUCGGUGGGGGAUGGGCUCGCGGCCUAUCAGCUUGUUGGUGGGGUGAUGGCCUACCAAGGCGGUGACGGGUAGCCGGCCUGAGAGGGUGGACGGUCACACUGGGACUGAGACACGGCCCAGACUCCUACGGGAGGCAGCAGUGGGGAAUAUUGCACAAUGGGCGCAAGCCUGAUGCAGCGACGCCGCGUGAGGGAUGGAGGCCUUCGGGUUGUAAACCUCUUUCGCCAGUGAAGCAGGCCUGCUCCUUGUGGGUGGGUUGACGGUAGCUGGAUAAGAAGCGCCGGCUAACUACGUGCCAGCAGCCCCGGUCA